GGGCGAUAGCUCAGAGGGAGAGCAGCGGCGCAGGCCGAAGGUCACCGGUUCGAAUCCGGUUCGUCCACCA
rnacentral:tRNA from 1 species